AUCCUUUUGUAGUUCAUAAGCUUGAUGUUUGAGUUUUCACACUUACGUGUGAAAUAUGCCUCCCUUAAACCUUGUUACUAUGUCAGCACAUUACCCAUGAGACA
ensembl:snoRNA